GGAGUCUAGCAUGUGCGCGAGUCAUUGGGACGAGCGAAACCUAAAGGCGUAAUGAAAGUGAAGGCGCGCCUCGCGCGCGCCGAGGGAGGAUGGGUCGCGCACGUCGCGGCUCCGCACUCCCGGGGCGUUUCGUUCUCACUGCGAGAAGAGGCGCACCCAGAGCGUACACGCUGGGACCCGAAAGAUGGUGAACUAUGCCUGGUCAGGACGAAGUCAGGGGAAACCCUGAUGGAGGUCCGUAGCGAUUCUGACGUGCAAAUCGAUCGUCGGAACUGGGUAUAGGGGCGAAAGACUAAUCGAACCAUCUAGUAGCUGGUUCCCUCCGAAGUUUCCCUCAGGAUAGCUGGCGCUCGCUUCGCGAGUCUCAUCCGGUAAAGCGAAUGAUUAGAGGCAUUGGGGUCGAAACGGCCUCAACCUAUUCUCAAACUUUAAAUGGGUGAGAACUCCGGCUUGCUUAAACGGUGAAGCCGCGAGUUGGUCUCCCUCACGGGUGACCGAAGGAUCAGAGUGCCAAGUGGGCCACUUUUGGUAAGCAGAACUGGCGCUGUGGGAUGAACCAAACGCAGAGUUAAAGCGCCCAAAUCGACGCUUAUGGGACACCAUGAAAGGCGUUGGUAACUUAAGACAGCAGGACGGUGGCCAUGGAA
rnacentral:rRNA from 1 species